ensembl:misc_RNA Metazoa_SRP Metazoan signal recognition particle RNA
GUCGGGCAUGGUAGCGCAUGCCUGUAGUCCCAGCUACUCGGGAGGCUGAGGCAGGAGAAUCGCUUGAACCCAGGAGGCGGAGGUUGCAGUGAGCCGAGAUUGCACCACUGCAAUCCAGCCUGGGUGAUGGAGUGAGACUCUGUCUCAA